UUAUGGCACACCAAAAAAUAUAGAAUCAACUGAAGCGCUGAGUUUUUGGCCAGUUUUGACAACUAAUGGGUGGCCGGAAAACCCUGCUUGGACGGCACGAGUAUAAGUGCCAGAAAAUUUGGGCCGGCGUUGGUCAAUGGUUUGUCGUGGGUGCUAGGAAGUUCUCAAUGGCGAUCAUUCCCUCACGAUUCCGGACUACGGCAGAUGUAAGGGUCGUCAGGCAAAGUGGUUCCACGAUGGCAAAAGGAAAAAAUGCCAGCCUUUUAUAAAUUCGGGCUGUGACGGUAAGCACAAUCGUUUCGAAAUAUAUGAAGAAUGCGACGAAUUUUUUAAAUAAUCCAGCUGGGAGAUAAUUUGUGGAGAAAACACACCACUAAUGGUUCUUGCUCUGACUAAUGCUAAUGGGGCAUUCAUGGAAGGCUCUACAAAUGUAAGACGUUUGGGCUUGAGUCUUUCAUUGAGUUUCCGUGGGUUCUAUGAAGAUCUCAAAAUGUUCUGGAUGCGCCUUGCUCUGCUUUGUGUAGCCGCUUCCCUUGUGUACGCCAAAAA